GCCUAGGAUCACUCAUGCCCACCUCCCCUCCAACACAACCAGCCCACGUCUCUCCCUAUGCACAUUUUUUUAUUCCCCUAGCCGGAGACGUCAUGGCUGACUUCAUCCAUGUAUCAAUGACGCGUGAAGACCGCACAACAGGACCGCUAUCUCCUUCAUCCACGCAACAAAAUUCUGUUGAGAAAAAUCCGAUUCCUUCGUUGCUCCGACCGGGUAUCGUCUUCGGCCUCAAUAAAUAGACUGCCAUAUUCUUUCUCCGGUUUACAGAAGCGAACCCAGCCAUCGUUUCCAAGUACGCGCAGAGAGAGAGAGCCACAAGAGUUAGAGCGAAACAUCAGCGUAUGGAUCUAGGGGCUCGAGCAAGCAAGAGAGGAGAGAUGCCUGCGUCAAUAGAUCAUGUAUGAGGAAGCAGUGAGGACACGAGUCAUCUGAAAAGCAAGUUGGUACCUAGAAUCUCAAGUCCCAGGCAAGUUGUGCCCUUGAUCACUUCUUUUUACCCAGCCAUGUUCUAAUUAAUCAUAAUGAUCUGCAUAGGUUAAUUUUGAUGGGACCCAAUAGGUUACCCUAGUUUGAUUAUCUUUAUACCUUGUUACCACUGAACUUUUUGGGUAGUACUUGCUAGUGCUUUAUGUGGUUUUGGGUAUGAAGAUACAUUACUCAUGAUUAUACUUUUGUUAUCCGUUGUUAUUUAUCGUUCAUGAUAAGAUCAUUAUGUUAAUUGGAACAUGGAGCGACCACCCGGGAAAACAGUGCUACCACAAGGGUAUAAUGGGACGCCCUUGGCUGAUUAAUUAGGAAAGCUAGUGGAGGACUACCUUACCCGAAAGGGGCAAGGGCAGUAGGGGAGUGGUCAGUGUAGGGAGGCCCUCGGGAGGAUUUUGCUGCGAUGGCGGUCCUGCAAGGGAAUUCCUGCAUUGGAGCUUCCUAUAAACUGUAGCGGGUUUUCUGAAGCUAGUGGAACUUUGUAAAGGCCUCGUAGUGUUACCCUGCCUCGCCUCCUCGGUAGAGGUGUAUGGGAAGUCGCGAUCCCUUGGCAGAUGGGUAACAUGACUUGUGGGUAAAGAUGCGCCACCUCUGCAGAGUGUAAAACUGGUAUACUAGCCGUGCUCACGGUCAUGAGCAGCUCGGACCCUCACAUGAUUAAUUUAUGGAACUAAAAUUCAAUUUUGUCAUAUGCAUUGCAUCGCAGGUGAUGAUGUUACUUCUGUUCUACUACUUAAUUGGGUUGGUAUUUACUUAUACUUAGUAAUUGCUAAUAAAAUUUUGACCAACUUUAAAAGCAAUGCUCAGCUUCAACCAUCUCCGUUGGUAAGCCUUACACUUCACGUGAGCUCCCACCUUUGGCGAGUUCAUGCACAUUAUUCCCCACAACUUGUUGAGCGAUGAACGUAUGUGAGCUCACUCUUGCUGUCUCACACCCCCCCCCCCACAGGUCAAGAACAGGUACCACAGGACGAGGCGCUUGAAGGAUGCUGUGCGAGUUCGUGAGAGGUCUAGGUCGUCGUCUCCCAGUCAACUUUGGGUUGCUGGACCGUUGUCUCCUUAUAAUGUAAUUACUUAAUUAUUUUGUAUAGAACUCCUGUUAUAAAGAUGUGACAUUCGAUCCUGUGCCAUGAUUCAUCAUAUGUGUGAGACUUGGUCCCAGCACACCUGGUGAUUAUGUUCGCGCCCGGGUUUUGGACCCCUAAAAUCCGGGUGUGACACAAAAUAAGGAAGAUAUAUGGCUCCUUAACCACAUUGUGUUUAUCAUGUAUCCCCCCUAUUUAUCAAUCAUCUUGCAUACCAACUCUCAGUAUUAUGUGACAUGAAACCCCCAAAACUGAAAUCCCAGUUGGGUUUUGAUCCUUGGCUAUAACAGUUCAACUUUCUUUA